rnacentral:rRNA from 1 species
UACGGAGGGUGCGAGCGUUGUCCGGAAUCACUGGGCGUAAAGGGCGCGUAGGCGGCAUGCCAAGCGUGUGGUGAAAGCCCGGGGCUCAACCCCGGGUCGGCCGUGCGGACUGGCGUGCUCGAGCACUGUAGGGGCGGGUGGAAUUCCGGGUGUAGCGGUGGAAUGCGUAGAGAUCCGGAAGAACACCGGUGGCGAAGGCGGGUCUCUGGGCCAAAACUGACGCUGAGGAGCGAAAGCGUGGGGAGCGAACAGG